UACAGAGGUCUCAAGCGUUGUUCGGAUUCAUUGGGCGUAAAGGGUGCGUAGGUGGCGCCGUAAGUCGGGUGUGAAAUCCCGGGGCUCAACCCCGGAACUGCACUUGAUACUGCGUGGCUAGGGUACUGGAGAGGAGACUGGAAUUUACGGUGUAGCAGUGAAAUGCGUAGAUAUCGUAAGGAAGACCAGUGGCGAAGGCGAGUCUCUGGACAGUUACCGACGCUGAGGCACGAAGGCCAGGGGAGCAAACGGG
rnacentral:rRNA from 1 species